GUGAGGAAUAUUGCGCAAUGGAGGCAACUCUGACGCAGCCAUGCCGCGUGCAGGAAGAAGGCGCUACGCGUUGUAAACUGCUUUUAACCGGGAAGAAACCCCAGGACGUGUCCUGGGUUGACGGUACCGGAGGAAUAAGCACCGGCUAACUUCGUGCCAGCAGCCGCGGUAAUACGAAGGGUGCAAGCGUUAUCCGGAUUCAUUGGGUUUAAAGGGUGCGUAGGCGGAGCGUUAAGUCAGUGGUGAAAUCCUGCAGCUUAACUGUAGACUUGCCAUUGAUACUGGCGCUCUUGAAUGCGCAUGAAGGGGGCGGAAUGUGCCGUGUAGCGGUGAAAUGCUUAGAUAUGGCACAGAACACCAAUUGCGAAGGCAGCUCACUAAGGCGAUACUGACGCUGAGGCACGAAAGCGUGGGGAUCGAACAGGAUUAGAAACCCGAGUAGUCC
rnacentral:rRNA from 1 species